GACGAACGCUGGCGGCGUGCCUAAUACAUGCAAGUUGAGCGCUGAAGGUUGGUACUUGUACCAACUGGAUGAGCAGCGAACGGGUGAGUAACGCGUGGGGAAUCUGCCUUUGAGCGGGGGACAACAUUUGGAAACGAAUGCUAAUACCGCAUAAAAACUUUAAACACAAGUUUUAAGUUUGAAAGAUGCAAUUGCAUCACUCAAAGAUGAUCCCGCGUUGUAUUAGCUAGUUGGUGAGGUAAAGGCUCACCAAGGCGAUGAUACAUAGCCGGCCUGAGAGGGUGAUCGGCCACAUUGGGACUGAGACACGGCCCAAACUCCUACGGGAGGCAGCAGUAGGGAAUCUUCGGCAAUGGACGAAAGUCUGACCGAGCAACGCCGCGUGAGUGAAGAAGGUUGUCGGAUCGUAAAACUCUGUUGGUAGAGAAGAACGUUGGUGAGAGUGGAAAGCUCAUCAAGUGACGGUAACUACCCAGAAAGGGACGGCUAACUACGUG
rnacentral:rRNA from 1 species